rnacentral:rRNA from 1 species
GCUUACGACCACACCGGCCUGAGUACGCCUGAUCUCGUCUGAUCUCGGAAGCUAAGCAGGGUCGGGCCUGGUUAGUACUUGGAUGGGGAGACCGCUGGGAUACCAGGUGCUGUAAGCU